GUGGCGAACGGGUGAGUAACACGUGAGUAACCUGCCCUUGACUCUGGGAUAAGCGUUGGAAACGACGUCUAAUACCGGAUACGAGCUGGGACCGCAUGGUCACCAGCUGGAAAGAACUUCGGUCAAGGAUGGACUCGCGGCCUAUCAGCUAGUUGAUGAGGUAACGGCUCACCAAGGCGACGACGGGUAGCCGGCCUGAGAGGGUGACCGGCCACACUGGGACUGAGACACGGCCCAGACUCCUACGGGAGGCAGCAGUGGGGAAUAUUGCACAAUGGGCGCAAGCCUGAUGCAGCAACGCCGCGUGAGGGACGACGGCCUUCGGGUUGUAAACCUCUUUUAGCAGGGAAGAAGCGAAAGUGACGGUACCUGCAGAAAAAGCGCCGGCUAACUACGUGCCAGCAGCCGCGGUAAUACGUAGGGCGCAAGCGUUAUCCGGAAUUAUUGGGCGUAAAGAGCUCGUAGGCGGUCUGUCGCGUCUGCUGUGAAAACCCGAGGCUCAACCUCGGGCCUGCAGUGGGUACGGGCAGACUAGAGUGCGGUAGGGGAGAUUGGAAUUCCUGGUGUAGCGGUGGAAUGCGCAGAUAUCAGGAGGAACACCGAUGGCGAAGGCAGAUCUCUGGGCCGUAACUGACGCUGAGGAGCGAAAGGGUGGGGAGCGAACAGGAUUAGAUACCCUGGUAGUCCAC
rnacentral:rRNA from 1 species